UACGAAGGGGGCUAGCGUUGUUCGGAUUUACUGGGCGUAAAGCGCACGUAGGCGGUUUGUUAAGUCAGGUGUGAAAUCCCACAGCUCAACUGUGGAACUGCCUUUGAUACUGGCAAGCUAGAGUCCGGAAGAGGUAAGUGGAACUCCUAGUGUAGAGGUGGAAUUCGUAGAUAUCAGGAGGAACACCGAUGGCGAAGGCAGCUCGCUGGGACGGUACUGACGCUGAGGCGCGAAAGCGUGGGGAGCAAACAGG
rnacentral:rRNA from 1 species